CCUACGGGAGGCUGCAGUGGGGAAUCUUGCACAAUGGGCGAAACCCUGACGCAGCGACGCCGCGUGAGUGAGGAAGGAUUUCGGUAUGUAAAGCUCUAUUAGCAGGGAAGAAAAUGACGGUACCUGACUAUGAAGCUCCGGCUAACUACGUGCCAGCAGCCGCGGUAAUACGUAGGGGGCAAGCGUUAUCCGGAUUUACUGGGUGUAAAGGGAGCGUAGACGGUUAAUCAAGUCAGAAGUGAAAGCCUUGGGCUCAACCUUGGGACUGAAUUUGAAACUGAAUAGCUGGAGUGCAGGAGAGGUAAGCGGAAUUCCUAGUGUAGCGGUGAAAUGCGUAGAGAUUAGGAGGAACACCAGUGGCGAAGGCGGCUUACUGGACUGUAACUGACGUUGAGGCUCGAAAGCGUGGGGAGCAAACAGGAUUAGAUACCCUGGUAGUC
rnacentral:rRNA from 1 species